rnacentral:rRNA from 1 species
GGUUAAGCGACUAAGCGUACACGGUGGAUGCCAUGGCAGUCAGAGGCGAUGAAGGACGUGCUAAUCUGCGAUAAGCGUCGGUAAGGUGAUAUGAACCGUUAUAACCGGCGAUUUCCGAAUGGGGAAACCCAGUGUGAUUCG